GGAUGUGAGGGCAAUCUGGUUGUGACAUCUGUCACCCCACUGAUCGCCAGGGUUGAUUCGGCUGAUCUGGCUGGCCAGGCGGGUGUCCCCUUCCUCCCUCACUGCUCCAUGUGUGUCCCUCCCGAAGCUGCACACUCGGUCAAAGAGGACGACCAUCCCCGAUAGAGGAGGACCGGUCUUCAGUCAAGGGUAUAUGAGUAGCUGCGCUCCCCUGCUAGAACUUCCAAACAAGCUGUCAAGUGUCCUGUAAGAUACUACGUUUCUGAGUCCAGAGCCAGGGAAACCUGGAGGUUUGCGU
ensembl:misc_RNA 7SK 7SK RNA